CCUACGGGAGGCAGCAGUGGGGAAUAUUGCACAAUGGGGGAAACCCUGAUGCAGCGACGCCGCGUUAGUGAAGACGUAAUUCGUUAUGUAACGCUCUAUCAGCGGGGAAGAAAAUGACGGUACCUGCGUAAGAAGCCCAGGCUAACUACGUGCCAGCAGCCGCGGUCAUACGUAGGUGGCAAGCGGUGUCCGGAUUUACUGGGUGUAAAGGGCGUGCAGCCGGAGAGACAAGUCAGAUGUGAAAUCCACGGGCUCAACCCGUGAACUGCAUUUGAAACUGUUUCCCUUGAGUGUCGGAGAGGUAAUCGGAAUUCCUUGUGUAGCGGUGAAAUGCGUAGAUAUAAGGAAGAACACCAGUGGCGAAGGCGGAUUACUGGACGAUAACUGACGGUGAGGCGCGAAAGCGUGGGGAGCAAACAGGAUUAGAGACCCCAGUAGUC
rnacentral:rRNA from 1 species